rnacentral:rRNA from 1 species
UAACACGUGGGGAACCUGCCCCAUAGUCUGGGAUACCACUUGGAAACAGGUGCUAAUACCGGAUAAGAAAGCGGAUCGCAUGAUCAGCUUUUAAAAGGCGGCGUAAGCUGUCGCUAUGGGAUGGCCCCGCGGUGCAUUAGCUAGUUGGUAAGGUAAAGGCUUACCAAGGCGAUGAUGCAUAGCCGAGUUGAGAGACUGAUCGGCCACAUUGGGACUGAGACACGGCCAAACUCCUACGGGAGGCAGCAGUU